GCCAGACUCCUACGGGAGGCAGCAGUGGGGGAUAUUGCACAAUGGGGGGAACCCUGAUGCAGCGACGCCGCGUGGGUGAAGAAGCGCCUCGGCGCGUAAAGCCCUGUCAGCAGGGAAGAAAAUGACGGUACCUGAAGAAGAAGCCCCGGCUAACUACGUGCCAGCAGCCGCGGUAAUACGUAGGGGGCAAGCGUUAUCCGGAUUUACUGGGUGUAAAGGGAGCGUAGACGGCCAUGCAAGCCUGGAGUGAAAGCCCGGGGCCCAACCCCGGGACUGCUCUGGGAACUGUGCGGCUGGAGUGCGGGAGGGGCAGGCGGAAUUCCUGGUGUAGCGGUGAAAUGCGUAGAUAUCAGGAGGAACACCGGCGGCGAAGGCGGCCUGCUGGACCGCGACUGACGUUGAGGCUCGAAAGCGUGGGGAGCAAACAGGAUUAGAUACCCCAGUAA
rnacentral:rRNA from 1 species